ensembl:lncRNA
GAAAACAUUAGCAAUUUUAUAAUUACGAAAUCUACCUUUUUUGUCGUUUUAGUUUGUUACUUAAAAAAUAUUUUGAUAAAAAUGAAUAAAAUUUAUGGUAAAAUAAACGAAUCCAAUAAACUUAAAAAGUUGUUUAAUGCGUAUUUUGAAGAACUUGAGGAUGUUUUGUAUUUUUUUGAAGAUAUGCUUAAUUGUAAUAACAAAAAAAUUAUUGAUAUGCUCAUAGUUAAAUUGUUAAUAUACUUUUACUUUCCUAUUAUUGGGUCUUUCCAUAAUUCAAUUUACUUUGAAAAUAUAAAUACAAACGAAUUUAAUAGUAGUAGCGAAAAUAUUAAUAAUCUUUGUUAUAUGUUUAGUAAAAAAGAAAAUAACCAACAGGAUAAAGAGGGCCUUGAUAAAAAGAAAAAUAAUGAAUAUAUUAGUAGUGGGAUAUAUAUUAACAAAAAUAUAUAUAAUAAGAAUUUAUUAGAUAACUCAAAUUUAUAUGAUAAAAAUGAAAGUAAUGUAAAAAAAGAAGUAAGCACAGAAGUAUUGCAAGUGGAACGAGUAACACCAAUUGAAGAAGUAGCAGAAGCCGAACAAGUAGUAUCUGUGGGCCUAGAAUCUGUUAAAGCAGUAAAAAUAGAAGGUAGCGAUUCAACCAAAAAUGUUGUAUCAGAUUCAAUAUAUAGUUAUAAACAAACAAAGUAUAAUAAUGAUAUUCCUUUUUUAAAAAUAAUUGACUAUAAUAUAAAAAAUUCUCAAAAUUUUCAUUUCAGCAAGUCCUUAUCAUCUUACGAAUCGUCUGUCAGCUCAAAUUUCAUUUAUAACAAAAACAAACAAUCAGACAUAGCUUUUUCUGACGAUAUAAAUAGUAACAACUCUGAUAAUACUGUCAAGAAUCAGAUACCGGUUGACAAUGUCAUUUCUGACCUUAUCACCGCUGCUACCGCUACUACUGCUGCUAGUGCUAGUGCUAGUGCUACUGCUGUUGCUACUGCUGUUGCUACUGCUGUUGCUACUACAGAUGCUACUACAGAUGCUACUACUAUUGCUACUACUAUUGCUACUACCAUUGCCACUACUAUUGCUACUGCUACUACUGAUGCUACUAAUAAUAUGAAUGAUAGUAAUAGUAACAUUAGCACCGAAAGUAAUCACACCGAAAGUAAUCACACCGAAAGUAAUCACACCGAAAGUAACCACACCGAAAGUAACCACACCGAAAGUAACAACAAGAAUGAUAAUAAUAAUGACAAAAAAAAAAGCGGGGAAAAAAAAAAUGAUAAUAAUACAUAUGAAUUUUUAUAUUUUAAAGGUAGAGCUAGCUCUAAGAAGGACAAAAAUAUAUACGAAAAAAUAGGUAAAGAUAAUGAGAAAUGUAAUAAUAUAAAUAAAGAGAAAAUAAGUAAAAAUAAAAAAUUAACAGGUUUUGAUAAUGACAAUGGUGCUACAGUUACAGGUACAGGUACAGCUACAGCUACAGGUACAUUUACAGGUACAGCUACGGGUACUGCUACAGCUACUGCUAAUAGUAAUGGCGAAAAAAUUAGUGAUAUUAGUAGGUCUAGUAGUAGUAGUGCUAUUAGUAGUAAUAAAGGUGGUAACAGUAAUAAAAAUAAUAUUAAUAGUAAUAAAUAUGGUAGCAAUAAAUGUGAAGUUAAUGUUAUUAAGGAUAGCUUACUACAAAAUAUUUAUUUUCGAAAAAGACAAAAAAGAAACAUAAUACACCAAUUUAAAGCCAACAAUGGGAAAUUAAAAAAAAAAAAAAAAAAAAAUAUGAACGAGAGUAAUAGUGGUAGUAACAAUAGAAGUGAUAGUAGUAGUGAUAAUAACAGCAUAAGUAGUGAAAAUGACAAAAAAGAUGGAGACGGAAACAAAAAUAACGAUAGUAGCUAUUUAAAAAAAGACUACGAAUACGAUGAAUUAAAAAAACUAAUAAGAAAUAAAUAUAUUUUUAAUAAAAAAAAAAAAAAAAAAAAAACUUUUAACCAGUGUCAUAUUGAAAUUCCUACUUUACAAAAACAAAUUACUUUCGAUGAAAAUAUAAAUAACGAUAUAUACAAUUAUUUAUUUGAAUUCAAUU